rnacentral:rRNA from 1 species
GUAGGCGGUUUAAUAAGUGAAUAGUGAAACCUGGUGGCUCAACCAUACAGACUAUUAUUCAAACUGUUAAACUCGAGAAUGGUAGAGGUAACUGGAAUUUCUAGUGUAGGAGUGAAAUCCGUAGAUAUCAGAAGGAACACCAAUGGCGUAGGCAGGUUACNUGGAUCAUUUCUGACACUGAGGCACGAAAGCGUGGGGAGCGAACCGGAUUAGAUACCCGGGUAGUCCACGCCGUAAACGAUGGAUACUAGCUGUUGGAGGUAUCGACCCCUUCAGUAGCGAAGCUAACGCGUUAAGUAUCCCGCCUGUGGAGUACGGUCGCAAGACUAAAACAUAAAGGAAUUGACGGGGACCCGCACAAGCGGUGGAUCAUGUUCUUUAAUUCGAUGCUAAACGAAGAACCUUACCAGGGCUUGACAUCCUUGGAAUUUCUCCGAAAGGAGAGAGUGCUUUAUUGAACCAAGUGACAGAUGAUGCAUGGCCGUCGUCAGCUCGUGUCGUGAGAUGUUUGGUUAAGUCCAUCAACGAGCGCAACCCUUGUGAUUAGUUGUAUUUUUCUAAUCAUACUGCCCCGGAAACGGGGAGGAAGGAGGGGAUGAGGUCAGGUCAGUAUUUCUCUUACGUCCUGGGCUAGAAACGUGAUACAAUGGCUGGUACAAUGCGCCG